CCAAGGGUGUGCGCAGGAGUCGAGAGCGGGCGGUGCUCGGCCUGAGAGGGGCCCGGCCGUGGGAGAGCGCGGGUUUCGCGCUGCCUUGAGUUCUGCAGCAGCGCUGGCCCAGCGCUCGUGGGGCGGCGCGGCUGCCCCAGGCGGCACAGGCCCUGCUGCGCUACUCGCCACUUCUAACGCGUGUCGGGAAUUGAAAUAGUAAAAUAGGGAGCCGGCUCUGGCAAGGAAAAACUUUCGCACCCAAGCAGCAAAGCCCGACGCUUGAGGCAGGUUCGAUAGAGGGCGGUAAUGUUUUAAGUCUGCCUCAGCAAAACGUUUCCCAAGAAAAGUUCAACUACGCUCCUUUCUUCAACCAGUCAAGAAGCAAGGGUGAGCAGAGAGGGGAAGGUUACAGUGCCGGGGUGGACAAGUUCUGUCUUAUCCAGAGUGGCUGCUAAGCGAUGGGCCCCAGUUGAGGUUGUCUGAUCAACAUGAGAGCCGCUGCCAAACCACUGUUCCUGACACGGUUGAAGUUAAGGGUGGAAGCUGCAUUGAAGAUGAUAAAAGGAACAUGUCUGAACAUGCAGGAUCUUCAGGAGAAUCCAUCCUCAACUUACAGGAUUCUGAAGACUAUCCACCUUCAAGAUCAUCAUUUUCUACAGUUUGAGUUAAGUCAUGAUAGUGUUUCAGUCACAUCAUGUAUGUCACAUAGGCACAGUAUAUCACCUAUAGCAAAAAGAAAAAAAAAAAUCUCCAUCUAGAAACAACCAUAGAUAAAUUUGUGAAAAGAACCAGAUUACAAAAAGAGGUAAUGGAUGAAAAAAUUGCCCAGUUUUAUGCAAUCAACUCUCCUUUCCGUAUGAUUGAGAACCCACACUUCAUUAACAUGGUGCAGUCAUUAACACCAGCAUACAGUCCACCCACCUGAGCAGAUGUUGCAGGCAAAUUGCUGGAUAAAGUGUAUGGAAGAGAAAUUGAGCAGUGUGCAAACGGUAUAGAGGGUGAAAUUGUUAACCUGAGUCUUGAUGGGUGGAGCAGUGUCCACAAUCA